rnacentral:rRNA from 1 species
GUCCACGCCGUAAACGGUGGAUGCUGGAUGUGGGGCCCGUUCCACGGGUUCCGUGUCGGAGCUAACGCGUUAAGCAUCCCGCCUGGGGAGUACGGCCGCAAGGCUAAAAACUCAAAGAAAUUGACGGGGGCCCGCACAAGCGGCGGAGCAUGCGGAUUAAUUCGAUGCAACGCGAAGAACCUUACCUGGGCUUGACAUGUUCCCCAGGUCGUAGAGAUACGGCUUCCCUUGGGGCGGUUCACAGGUGGUGCAUGGUCGUCGU